CAGAUCACUGAAGAGGCAGCAUGUAACUUGCCCAGCUGAGAAAGCCUUUUGCAAUGAUGCUGUAUCUUAACCACAACCCAGGAAACAGGAAACCCAGGCCAGCUGACCAUCAGCUAAAACCAUGGCCCAGAAGAAAUAUUUUUCUCCUUUAAACUGUCUGUUAGAUAUUUGGUCACAGUGCUGAGAAACCUGACUAAUACAAUGAAUUACUUUAUA